rnacentral:rRNA from 1 species
UACGAAGGAUCCAAGCGUUGUCCGGAUUUACUGGGUUUAAAGGGCGCGUAGGCGGAUCUUUAAGUCAGUGGUGAAAGCUCCCAGCUUAACUGGGAAAUUGCCAUUGAAACUGAAGAUCUCGAGUAUGGUUGAGGUUACUGGAAUGUUGCAUGUAGCGGUGAAAUGCUUAGAUAUGCAACAGAACACCAAUUGCGAAGGCAGGUAACUAAGCCAUAACUGACGCUGAGGCUCGAAAGCGUGGGGAGCAAACAGG